GGACAAGUGCGGUCAGACGUCGACAACGAUGCAGCUAAAACUCGACCCAGAACUGAGGGAGGAAGAAUGAAAGGCGAGGAUGUCUGUCGCACAUGCACUGACCUGAGGCAAGCUGGGGGUCAAAUGCGAUUAUGAAACUGAGCUUCAGCAAAUGGAGGAAGUGAUAUUUGGAUGGAAUUGCACCAAUGACUUCAGUAACCUUAAGUCGACAGCCAUUGAACCAGGCUAUCCACCUGAUCAUCCAUCUGCAUGUGAGUGUGAACAUACUGAUGGCCUCGAGAAGGAUGGAGGUCCGGAGCUGAUUGUCCAAACGCAAUUCUUGCGUCUGCCUUUGUGAAACCAGGAGUUGUGGAUGGACAUCACGCCCCUGACCUCUGAAAAUCAGCGAGGGAUCGACCACAAUGGAUGGUAUAAAACUCAGUGGCUUUGUGGGUGGAUGAGCGAGAGACACUGAAAGACAAACAGAGAGAGGGAAAGAGAGAGGGACAUAUUGAAUAAGGGAGAGUGUGUGUUUAUGUAAAUGUAAAGCCUGUAAGAACCUCUCUCAACAUUUUUGGAGGUCAGCUUUACUUUAUUCCAAACAAAACCAGAAUAGUUUCAGAUUGGGCCUGUACAAGCUGUCUGCUUUAACUUGUAACAGAACAUGUAAAAUUAAAAUUCCUGCUCUUCAGGUCAACUCAGGUGGACAGUGAAAAGCUUAGGGAAGUGUUCCUUUUACAGGCCAGUCAUGGAUUACAAGACAGGCUGGUGAAUAAUUAACAUCAUCAUUGGUUUGAAAAGUAAUGGCACCAAACAGAGACAGCAGGUGGACAGCAGCCAAAAGGGAAGUGAAGAGGAAGUCAAUUAAUUUAUUUGGCAAUUCAUACAACACAAAUUGCUCAAUGUCCAAUUCUAAAACAGAAACCUUCACAUAUUUCAUGACUAAUCAAAUUUUUCCCAAAACCUAAAAGUUAUUGUAAACUUUAUCUUUCACACUGGUGUGAAAAUGUGAGUUUCAACAAGUAUUUUAAUUGACUUGAUGCUUAAAUAUCCAGAAAGGAAACGAACAAAUAAUCCAACUGCCAAUGCCAUUUAUGUUUUACUUUUUUGAAAAUUUCUUCUGCUCAGGUGCAAAGCCUAACACUCAUUCAAGCCCGGCACAGCAGAUCAGGGGUGUCCCAUUUUGGAAAGGGGGUUAGAGUCUGUCUGUGGAGCAGAAAGGACUGAAUAGCUCUCACCAUGUUAAGUACAGUUGAAUGUGUCCGGUUCGCACUUCAGCACCGGCGUCUAGAGAGGGUCUUGCUAAAUUUGCAGUAGAAGGGGUGAGAGUGACAGAAAGGGAGAGUGAAUGUGGGGAGGGAGGUGUGUGUGUGUGUGUGUGUGUGUGUGUGUGUGUGUGUGUGUGUGUGUGUGUGUGUGUGUGUGUGUGUGUCUGUGUGUGUACUUACCCUCUCUGUGUUUGCCCCUGUGAAUUUGCCUCUGUGUGUUUUUUCCUGUGUUUGGCAAAGUUCAGGAGGCCAGACUUGGAGAAAGAAAAGGGAAAAUGAGAGAAAGUAAAGGAUUUGAAUGAGGUUGUGAGAGAGGGAGUGAGACGGUGAGCAAGAUAGAAAAAGAAGGCAAAGAUCUGACUGAGAGAGAGAGGACAUAGAUGAGUACAAGAGGACAUUUUUGGAGGGAAAAGAAGACCAGGCUCCUUGAAAUUUGUGUGGCGAAAUAGUCCACUGCUUCACAGCACGAGUGGCGUAAAUUGGUGAUAUUUAUAGAUUGAAGCUGCAGGAAGCGACAACUCAGUCUGGGAAAUACGUAUAGAGAAAGAGAAAGAGUGAGGGAGAGAGAGAGCGGGAGACAGAGGGUGGGAGGGAGAUCAAGAGCGAGGCUGCAUUAAUAUGCUAAUGGCCUGAGUGAAUGCACAACAGGCCCACUGACCAGGCUAAUCACUGGUGGACACACACUGAGGCUAAUCCCUCACACAGCACUCACACACACGUAGUCACACAUGCACAUACAGUCCAGGUUAAAAUAUUUGGACAGUGACAUAUUUGCAUGGCUUUGUCUCUGUAGUCCAGCACAAUGGAUUUGAAAUGAAACACUGAGUAUCAGGUUAAAGGGCUGACUUUCAGGUUUAAUUUGUAGGUGUUUAUGUUCAUUUGGGAUAAUUAAUGUAUCAGUAAUAUCCCUUUUUAUAUUAAAUUUUGGGGAAAUUGACUGCAAAGGAUUAACCACUGCAAUAUUAAUUAUGAUGACUUAAAGUUCAUGCAAAAUGUUCAAUUAAUUUGGUCCCUCAAAGGCAAACAAUUCAAAAACAUGUAGUUUGAUAUGGAUGCAAAAUACACCUUAAUUUAAUAUUUAGUGUGGAGGAGUACAGAGUCAAAAUAAUAUACAAAUGUGUUACUGUCCAAAGACUGAGACACAUGAGGGAGAAACAGAAAACAGGGAUGAAAUGAAAAUGAAAUGCUCAACCACUGAAUGCAGGCUCAUAACUGUUGCAUGUGUGUGUAUUUUAUACUUAUCAUGUAAUGUAAUGUGUGUGUCUGUGGUCAUUAAUAUUGUUGUCAUAUUGCAGGUUAAAAUAAUAAAAAAUAAACUUUCAAAAACA